AAAGAUUAAGCCAUGCAUGUCUAAGUAUAGCAAUUUAUACGGUGAAACUGCGAAUGGCUCAUUAAAUCAGUUAUCGUUUAUUUGAUAGUACCUUACUACAUGGAUACCUGUGGUAAUUCUAGAGCUAAUACAUGCUAAAAACCUCGACUUCGGAAGGGGUGUAUUUAUUAGAUAAAAAACCAAUGCCCUUCGGGGCUCCUUGGUGAAUCAUAAUAACUUAACGAAUCGCAUGGCCUUGCGCCGGCGAUGGUUCAUUCAAAUUUCUGCCCUAUCAACUUUCGAUGGUAGGAUAGUGGCCUACCAUGGUGG
rnacentral:rRNA from 1 species